GCAAGUCGAGGGGUAACGGGGUGCUUGCACCGCCGACGACCGGCGCACGGGUGCGUAACGCGUAUACAAUCUACCUUUUGGUGAGGAAUAGCCCAGAGAAAUUUGGAUUAAUGCCUCAUAGUAUGUCGACCUCGCAUGAGGAUGAUAUUAAAGGUUACGGCAAAAGAUGAGUAUGCGUUCUAUUAGCUAGAUGGUAAGGUAACGGCUUACCAUGGCAACGAUAGAUAGGGGCCCUGAGAGGGGGAUC
rnacentral:rRNA from 1 species